AUUGAACGCUGGCGGCAUGCUUUACACAUGCAAGUCGAACGGUAACAGGUUAAGCUGACGAGUGGCGAACGGGUGAGUAAUGCAUCGGAACGUGCCCGAUCGUGGGGGAUAACGCAGCGAAAGCUGCGCUAAUACCGCAUACGAUCUGAGGAUGAAAGCGGGGGACCGUAAGGCCUCGCGCGAUCGGAGCGGCCGAUGUCAGAUUAGGUAGUUGGGGGGGUAAAGGCCCACCAAGCCGACGAUCUGUAGCUGGUCUGAGAGGCCGACCAGCCACACUGGGACGGAGACACGGCCCAGACUCCUACGGGAGGCAGCGGUGGGGAAUUUUGGACAAUGGGCGAAAGCCUGAUCCAGCAAUGCCGCGUGCAGGAAGAAGGCCUUCGGGUUGUAAACUGCUUUUGUACGGAGCGAAAAGGUCCUUUCUAAUACAAGGGGCUCAUGACGGUACCGUAAGAAUAAGCACCGGCUAACUACGUGCCAGCCGCCGCGGUAA
rnacentral:rRNA from 1 species